CACGUAGGGCGCAAGCGUUGUCCGGAAUUAUUGGGCGUAAAGAGCUCGUAGGCGGUCUGUUGCGUCCGCUGUGAAAACUCGGGGCUUAACCCCGAGCCUGCAGUGGAUACGGGCAGACUAGAGGUAGGUAGGGGAGAAUGGAAUUCCCGGUGUAGCGGUGAAAUGCGUAGAUAUCAUUUGGAACGCCCACGGUGAAAACAGCUGGCUGGGGAAGUGCUGACGCUGAGACGCGAAAGCGUGGGGAGCAAACAGG
rnacentral:rRNA from 1 species